rnacentral:rRNA from 1 species
AUUGAACGCUGGCGGCAUGCUUAACACAUACAAGUCGAACGGAAACGAUGGAAGCUUGCUUCUAGGCGUCGAGUGGCGGACGGGUGCGUAACGCGUAGGAAUCUGCCCUAUUGAGGGGGAUAAGCCAGAGAAAUUUGGUCUAAUACCGCAUAACCUCUACGGAGCAAAGUUGGCCUCUCCAUGGAAGCUAGCGCUGUUGGAUGAGCCUGCGUUGGAUUAGCUAGUUGGUAAGGUAAAGGCUUACCAAGGCAACGAUCCAUAGCUGGUUUGAGAGGAUGAUCAGCCACAUCGGGACUGAGACACGGCCCGGACUCCUACGGGAGGCAGCAGUGGGGAAUAUUGGACAAUGGGCGCAAGCCUGAUCCAGCAAUACCGCGUGUGUGAAGAAGGCCUGCGGGUUGUAAAGCACUUUCAAUAGUGAAGAAAAGUUUAGUGUAAAUAAUGCUACGCUGUGACGUGAUCUAUAGAAGAAGCACCGGCUAACUCCGUGCCAGCAGCCGCGGUAAUACGGAGGGUGCAAGCGUUAAUCGGAAUCACUGGGCGUAAAGCGUGCGUAGGCGGCUCAUUAAGUCAGAUGUGAAAGCCCAGGGCUUAACCUUGGAAUUGCAUCUGAUACUGGUGAGCUAGAGUUUGAGAGAGGGAAGCAGAAUUUCCGGUGUAGCGGUGAAAUGCAUAGAGAUCGGAAGGAAUACCAGUUGCGAAGGCGGCUUCCUGGCUCAAAACUGACGCUGAGGUACGAAGGCGUGGGUAGCAAACAGGAUUAGAUACCCUGGUAGUCCACGCCCUAAACGAUGUCAACUAGCCGUUGGGUUCAUUAAAGGACUUAGUGGUGCAGCUAACGCAUUAAGUUGACCGCCUGGGAAGUACGGUCGCAAGACUGAAACUCAAAGGAAUUGACGG